UACGUAGGGGGCAAGCGUUGUCCGGAAUCAUUGGGCGAAAGAGCGCGUAGGCGGCCCGAUAAGUCCGCUGUGAAAGUCAAGGGCUUAACCCUUGAAUGCCGGUGGAAACUGUCGGGCUAGAGUCCGGAAGAGGCGAGUGGAAUUCCUGGUGUAGCGGUGAAAUGCGUAGAUGUGUGAGGAACACCAAUGGCGAAGGCAGCCCUUCGU
rnacentral:rRNA from 1 species